rnacentral:rRNA from 1 species
UACAGAGGGUGCAAGCGUUGUUCGGAAUUAUUGGGCGUAAAGGGCGCGUAGGCGGUGCCACAAGUCACCUGUGAAAUCUCCGGGCUUAACUCGGAGCCUGCAGGCGAAACUGUGGUGCUGGAGUGUGGGAGAGGUGAGUGGAAUUCCUGGUGUAGCGGUGAAAUGCGCAGAUAUCAGGAAGAACACCCGUGGCUAAGGCGGCUCUCUAGUACGGUACUGACGCUGAGACGCGAAAGCGUGGGGAGCGAACAGG